GAGCACUGUUCUUGGAAAUCCAGUCCACUGCACACGGGGCUCAAGUCAGAGAGUCUAUAAAAGAAUGGUCUACCCAAGGCCAGCAAACGCUGAGUGUCAGAGAAGGAUCGUUCCAAAGGCGAUGCAACCUAGCAAGGACAGAGGUAUGUCAAGGCUCCAUCCAGGACAAGGAGUGUCAAUGCUCCAUCAAAGCUUCUGGUGAAGACGCGUGUCAGAGUGAUACCUCUGCUCCUGGACUCCUCUAUCAAUGGAUCACAGGUCCAGAUCCUGUCAAGUCUGUGGAGGAACAGGAAGCCAUGCCCAGCAGGAAGGUGUUGCUUCGCUGAUGCCCUGUGCCUCUCCCUUCACUGUGGCUGUGUUUUGACAGCAAAGGCUAAUCCCACUGGCCAUGAGUUAGUCAUAGCUUUGAUGACUAUGACAAGAUACCUGGGAAAACGACUGGAGGGGGAAAGGUUUACUUUGGCUGAUGUUUUCAGAGGUCAAAGCUCAGCUGACUGGCUGGCUGCAUUGUUUCUGGACCUACAGUACAGCAGACCAGCAUGGUGGAAGGGCAUGGCAAAACAGACAUUUUUACCCCCACAGCAUCCAGGCAGCAGAGAGAAUGACAGGAAAUGGUUAGGGACAAAAUACAAGAUCGGAGAAUAUGUUCCUAGUGACCUACUUCCUCCUAUCAGGCCCCACUUCCUGCAUCUCUAUCACUUUAAAAUAAUGUAAUUAAGAUAUGAACCCAUCCACAGAUUAAGCCAGGAAUGAAGGCCAAGUCCCAGUGAUCCAGUCACCUAUCCAUGGUGCCAUCAGUUGGAGACCAAGCCUUUAGCACAUGAACUUUUUAAAGGGACACGUCACAUUGCAAACUAUAAGUGGGCCUAUUUUUUUUUUCUUAUAUCUCAAUUUUGAGGAAAACGUUGCUGUGUCCUGAACUGCUUGCAGUUGGGGGGUUGCAAAGUCCCAAGCCUGUGUAAGGAGAAAACAAACUACUGAAGGUUUAAAUCAAUAGAGCCAUCUUCUCAGGGCCCAAUUGCACCAUCAUUCUGCGGAUUCCCUCUUCCUUUAGAGUAUUAGACAAUCCGACAGUUCCACAACCAUGAUCCCCGUGCCCUCUUCUCUUGGCUGUCUCUAGAUUUACAGACGCAGCCAGCCAGCCAUCUUUUUCCCGCUGCACAUAUCACCAACAUCUCCACUAGCUGAUGUUUCUGGUCAUGACACUGUUGUCCUGUGUCCCUGGGCUCAGCGUAUCAUGUAUGUCCUUAGUUAACCUACUUUUUACUUCUCCUCCUUAUGAUGAAAAAGAAAACAUAGCUGCCCAAGGACACUGAGGAGGAAUAUGAGGAAGACCAACAAUGCAGCAUCUUUCAGGUUCCCCUUCGUUUCUGAAACUGAUACCUCUUUCAAAUGAAAAUGUUUCUGACAUAGCUUCCUUUUUAAAAUAUGCACCUCCAUUCCAAGAUGCACAAUAACAGAAUGAUCCCAUCGCAAGCACAUGGGGAGCCACAGGCCUACCAGCACCAAUGAGCUCUGCCCCAUGUAUUCCCUCCAGGCCUUAACUUCCCCCUUCUUUCUUCAAAUACUUCUGAUAACAAACUAAGCAAAUUCAAGGUUGUUUAAGUGAGUCAAAACACACAAUCUUACUCAAUUCCAGCCUUCCAUAAUAUUCUGUUCUGUGAUCUGAGAGUCCUUGGUUUUAAAACUCUCUCUACCUCAUACUCAAUCCUUUUCUUCAAAUUUCAGAGUUGAGCAAACCAUCUCAUCUUCUCUGCAAUGUCCUUCUGCUCAGCUGGUGCUGAUCAGAAACUGACUCCCUGAUUGGCAAGGAGGCCCACAUUCUGCAUUUUGUGCAUUCUGAUCAUGGGUGAUGUUAGCUUCCAUGUAAAGGGAUAAGUCCUGAUGUCACAUCUUGGUUCAAACAGACAUUAAACUGUGUUGAGGUCUUUGUAUAUAAACUUAGUCAUAGAGCACUUGCCUAGAAAAGGCAAGAUCCUGGGUUUAAUCCUGAGCAAUACACCUUCAAAUUAAAUUAAAAAUCUUGCA
ensembl:antisense Plxna4os2 uncharacterized LOC110296045